GGUAAUUUUGAAGAAAUUUUGCUGUUUUUGGUUAUUAUCUUGAAUAUUAUCAUAGAUAGAGAUAAACUGUAAACAUCAAUAAUGUUCAGCAAAGUUAGAUUUACAAAUAAGUCAACAUGACCGAAAUGGUCAGUUGACCCCUUUAGGAGUUAUUGCCCUUUAUAGUCAAUUUUUAACCAUUUUUCAUAAAUCUAAGUAAUCUUUUACAAAAAUCUCCACUGAAACUACUAGGCCACAAUCAUCUUUGGGGUAUCUAGUUUGAAAAAUGUGUCCGAUGACCUGGCCAUUCAACCAAGAUGGCCGCCACGGC
rnacentral:lncRNA from 1 species